CCUACGGGUGGCAGCAGUGGGGAAUAUUGGGCAAUGGGCGCAAGCCUGACCCAGCAACGCCGCGUGAAGGAAGAAGGCUUUCGGGUUGUAAACUUCUUUUGUCAGGGAAGAGUAGAAGACGGUACCUUACGAAUAAGCCACGGCUAACUACGUGCCCGCAGCCGCGGUAAUACGUAGGUGGCCAGCGUUGUCCGGAUUUACUGGGUGGAAAGGGCGUGUAACCGGGUUGACAAGUCAGAAGUGAAAUCCUGCGGCUUAACCGCAGAACUGCCUUUGAAACUGUUGAGCGUGAGUACUGGAGAGGCAGACGGAAUUCCUAGUGUAGCGGUGAAAUGCGUAGAUAUUAGGAGGAACACCAGUGGCGAAGGCGGUCUGCUGGACAGCAACUGACGGUGAGGCGCGAAAGCGUGGGGAGCAAACAGGAUUAGAUACCCCAGUAGUC
rnacentral:rRNA from 1 species